UAGGUGAGUAUGUUUGGGGUUUGCGUGAGAUGAGGAUACCAGGGGUUGGGGGAACCCCUUGCAUAAUAGAUCGUGUGGUUUUUCUGCCUGGGUAGGUGACUGAGGCACUAAGGCAGGCUGUGCAGGGCCUGCUGGAAGAGCGAGAGCAGCAGAAGUACCAGAUCUCUGCCCUAGAAGCAUCACUAAGGUUGCUGCAGGGGGGCCCAGAGCAAAGGGUCCUUCUCCUGGAGCAACGCCUGGAGGGGCUGAGAAGGGAACUGCAGGGCCUUCGAAGCUAGGUACAGGAACAGGCGUGAGCCCAAAUACAAACAGGACCACAAAAGUGCAGUGCUACCAGUGGCCUUCACCAAGAGCUGCAGAAUGAGCUGCAACUGCUGUGGGAGGAGUCAGAGAUUCUUUGGGAGGAAUUGAAGUUGCUGCAGGACCAGCUGAGCCAGCACCAGGAGCUGCUGCUGAAACAGAUGACUGAGGGGCGGCAAGCUCAGGCCCACAGCUGGAAGAUCUCCAGAGGCAUACCCUUUCUAACCUGCAGCCCAGCAGCUUUCAGCUCCAGGCCCAGAACCCUAUACUUUAAGGGCCCCAAGAUGCUCCUGAGUGACUGUAAGGACUUGUAAGAGCAGUAGGAUGAUGUCUUCUUUGCUCACCUUCCCUUCCAAGGUCCUGUUUCUGGGUCCCCUUCCCCUCCCCUCUUGAUCU